CAAUAGCGUAUAUUAAAGUUGUUGCGGUUAAAAAGCUCGUAGUUGGAUUUCUGCUGAGGAUGACCGGUCCGCCCUGUGGGUGUGCAUCUGGCUCAGCCUUGGCAUCUUCCUGAAGAACGUAGCUGCACUUGACUGUGUGGUGCGGUAUUUAGGACAUUUACUUUGAGGAAAUUAGAGUGUUUCAAGCAAGCGCACGCUUUGAAUACAUUAGCAUGGAAUAAUAAGAUAGGACCUUGGUUCUAUUUUGUUGGUUUCUAGAGCUGAGGUAAUGAUUGAUAGGGAUAGUUGGGGGCAUUCGUAUUUAACUGUCAGAGGUGAAAUUCUUGGAUUUGUUAAAGACGGACUGCUGCGAAAGCAUUUGCCAAGGAUGUUUUCAUUGA
rnacentral:rRNA from 1 species